CAGUGCUAUAGUACCACCUACCCAGUGAUGCGGAACCAUCGAGCCAGUGAUGUAGUAACAUCUAUCCAGUGCUGUAGUACUACCUAGCCAGUGAUAUAGUACCAUCUAACCAGUGACAUAAUACCACCUACCCAUGCUAUAGUACCAUCGGCCAAGGGCUUUAGUAAUAAAACGUAGGUAACAUAGUACUAUAGCAAUGUAGUACUCCUAUGAAAUAGCACUCCGGUGACAAAGUAUCAUUCUAGUGAUGUAUCAUUCCCACAAUAGAAGCCCAAUCUGACAAGACGUAUAAGGUGAAUUAAUCAUUUGUGAAUUAUUUAUUAAA